CACGUAGGGUGCGAGCGUUGUCCGGAAUUAUUGGGCGUAAAGAGCUCGUAGGCGGUGUGUCGCGUCGGCCGUGAAAACCUGCAGCUUAACUGUGGGCGUGCGGUCGAUACGGGCAUCACUGGAGUUCGGCAGGGGAGACUGGAAUUCCUGGUGUAGCGGUGAAAUGCGCAGAUAUCAGGAGGAACACCGGUGGCGAAGGCGGCGACCUGGGUAGAUACUGACGCUGAGGCGCGAAAGCGUGGGGAGCAAACAGG
rnacentral:rRNA from 1 species